rnacentral:rRNA from 1 species
UGGGGAAUUUUGGACAAUGGGCGAAAGCCUGAUCCAGCAAUGCCGCGUGUGUGAAGAAGGCCUUCGGGUUGUAAAGCACUUUUGUCCGGAAAGAAAUCCUCUGGGUUAAUACCUCGGGGGGAUGACGGUACCGGAAGAAUAAGCACCGGCUAACUACGUGCCAGCAGCCGCGGUAAUACGUAGGGUGCAAGCGUUAAUCGGAAUUACUGGGCGUAAAGCGUGCGCAGGCGGUUUUGUAAGACGGAUGUGAAAUCCCCGGGCUUAACCUGGGAACUGCAUUCGUGACUGCAAGGCUAGAGUAUGGCAGAGGGGGGUAGAAUUCCACGUGUAGCAGUGAAAUGCGUAGAGAUGUGGAGGAAUACCGAUGGCGAAGGCAGCCCCCUGGGCCAAUACUGACGCUCAUGCACGAAAGCGUGGGGAGCAAACAGGGUUAGAUACCCUGGUAGUCCACGCCCUAAACGAUGUCAACUAGUUGUUGGGGAUUCAUUUCCUUAGUAACGUAGCUAACGCGUGAAGUUGACCGCCUGGGGAGUACGGUCGCAGGAUUAAAACUCAAAGGAAUUGACGGGGUCAUAGCUGUUCCU